GGAGAGGUGUCCGAGCGGUCUAAGGAGCGCGACUGGAAAUCGCGUAUGGGCUGAAAGGUCCAUCGCGGGUUCAAAUCCCGCCCUCUCCG
rnacentral:tRNA from 1 species